GGCGUUUAAUAAAACUCAGCCAGUGGUGAAUGGGCUGCCCACUCUCCAAUGGUAAUUAAUUCCCUAUUUCAGUGACCCAAUUGUCCUGGGACAGAGCGGUGGGCCCGUCCCGGUGCCCCGGUCCCCCUUUGUGCGGAUACAAGGCCCUCGUGCUUCAACAGCUAUGGAAACUCAUUCUUUUGAUGUCAUUCAAGGAGUUUUCCUUGGGCAUCUUCUAAACUUCAAGGACCCUUUUCUUUCUCCGUCUCAUGAAAAGCAGUGCGAGCUUGACCACCUCUGCAGAAUUUAAUGAUUUGGUGAAAGGGCCCUUUGGGGUUUGUAUAAGGAGUUAGACGGAGAGAAAGGAAAUUUGGCAGCCUGCUCCCUCGCAGGACAGUCCUGAACCUGGAAAACACAAAACUUAUUGAGAGCAAUGGAUCCAGAUCUGAAAACUGAUUUUUCCUUUCUUCUCCACUAAGGAAAAAGCAAAACCCCCCAAAACACUGAAUUCUCUUCUGGAAAUAAAGCUAUUGUUUGUUGUUGCUGAUAUAAGGCUGAACUUGGGGGAUAAAUAAGUUCCAAACUUCAGCAGAGAACAUUCUUUAAUCUGUACCUUUGGGGAAUAGGAUAUCAGUUUACUACUUUCACUCAUUCGUUCAACCAUCCCUCCUUCCUACAUUCCAAAUACACUUAAUGAGCACCCAGUGUAUGCCGGGCCCUGUACCGACCCCCGGGAACGAUGCCACGCAGGAGGCAGACAUCAUUCCUACCCGUGGAGAGCUUACAUUCAAAUAAGUAGACCAAAAAAAAAAAAGUCACAUAAAUCAGAAAACUGUGUGUUGCAUCGACACAAAAAAACUGUAAUAUAAUAGAGAGUGUCAGGAGAGCACGAGGCUAGGUUUUAUUUUCAGAGAUCCAAAGGGAUACUUUAGAGCCCAAAACAUUUGGGGGCGACCCUAAGAGCUGACUUAUUCAUUCUUUCAUUCCUCCAAAUAUUUCUCAAGCGCCUACUGUGUGCCAGGCGCCGUGCGGGGCGCGGAGUGCGCCCCGCCGGCGAGCAGACGGCCGCGGCCUGGACGGCCGGUCCCGCGGGUGAUGCUGCGCUGGCGGACGCCGCGGGGUCGGGACUCCAGGCCGGGAGGGGGCGGCCGCGGCGCGCGGGCAGCGCUCCCAGCACAAGUAGCUCUUCUAUGUCUUUAUACGCACUUCCAAAAAAACUUCGCAAGUCACAGAAACAAUUCAGAAUUCAACUAAGAAAAUACAGAGUGAACCAUAUGGCCUGGGUGGCUCGAGUCGGCUGCAUUUUCCUCUAGACAAAGAAGGGAUUGAGAGUUGAAGGAAAGGAGAAAAAAACCAACUUUCCGGCUGAUGAAGCUGUUGUCUGGAGGCAAUGAUCCCAAAUCUGAAGGCUUUAUUCCGGCUCCGACGGAGACGUGAUAUGUCAUAUGAUUAGCAUCUUUCAUAUUUACAAGAGUGGUACGGGCUGCCAGUCUGGAGAGAAAGGCGAGAGAAAGAAGGGGGCAUAUGCUGAAAUGGAUUUAGCAUUUGAAAGAGAGAAAGGAGAUCGGAUAAAUACACUUAAACGAGGAUUUCGUUUUACUCCUGUUGAGUUCUAAUGGAUUGUUGAUUGAGAUUUUAGGGGCCUGGAACCGAGGUGUCAGCAGUAAUUUAAAGAAGGCAUUCAGUCCCCAGCGCCUCUUUUCUCCAUGUCCCCCUCCCUCCCCUGCCGCCCUCUCUCAUUUGCGCCUUCAAGCAGUCCGGGGGCGGAGGAGGCUUUUAAAACAAAACACAAAACAAGAUCUUACGGAGGCCGAGGCCCGCGGGAGCCGGAGCGCCGAGGGGUCUGCAGGAGGCGCCCCUCCAGCCGGCGGCGCCCCGGGCUCCCGCUCCCCGCCCGCCGCACCUGGGCGUCCGCGGGGCGCGCGGCGAGGGCCUGGCGCCCUCUGCCGGGUCCCCGGGCCGCCCUCCGGGCCUCCACCUGCGGCCGCCGCGGAGCCCAGCGCACGGGCAGGCCGGACCCUCCGCGGCGGCCUGCGGCAGCCGAGGUCCACAAGCGGCCGGCCUAGCCCCGGACUUGCGUUGGGAGGACUUCGCUGUUCCACAGCUGGAAGCGACGCCAGGACUCGGUCGGGGAAAAGACCUGGACUCCAGACUGUUAAGAGGACCUCGUAUGCGCUCCUGGGGAGGAUACCGCGUCUGUACAUUGUAUCCUGUGGUACAGAUAAAUGUUUGUCCUCACGCGUCCAGAGCCCCUUUCCAGAUUCUCUCUCAUACUGCUGUGGCUCCCCCAGUAUUUUUUCUUCUCUUCCGAGUUGGAAUUUGAUGCUCAUUUUAGUUAGAUGGCAUGUGUGUAAAAUGUUGGGGGAGGGGGCUGCCUUAGGCCUCAUGCCCUGGAUCCAGACGCCCAAAUUCCUGUUUCUGCUCCCCAUUUUCAUCUCUUUCCUGCUAAAAUUUACUUGUCCUUAACUUGGUUAGGUAAAUUGUGCUUUCCUAAGUGUCAAAGGUAACUUAAGGACUUAAAUUUUAGCAUUUUCCCUGUGACUCUUUUAAGCUGCCCACAUUUGCCAACAGUGGAGACUAAUAAUAAAUUACAGUACUGCCGCAACAAAUAAAAAGUCCCGCAGACUUUAAAAUCAUAUUUAUGACAGAUAUUUAAUUUCUGAAAAUCGUGAUAUGAUGCUUAGUGUGACCCCAGUUUGUAGACCAUGUAUGUGUAUAUAUAUAUAUAUAUAUAUCUGAGUGGUUGGAGGGAAACAGGAACACAUACAUCCUGGAGAGAAAAAUAGUCAUAGUACUUAUCUUUUUGCCAUUGGGGAGUGGUCAUUUAAAUUUUCUUCUGAGUUUUCCAAGUAAAUUUUGGAACAUUUGUAAUCAAGGAUUGUUAUUUAAAAACGCUGGUCUUCUGGAGAGUGCCUGGUCUUUCGCAGUCUUCGUCAGAGAUUGGAAGUAAGUUCCAGAUCAGAGAUGGCUAAAGGGGGUGAGUUACAUCACAGAGCUCACCCACAGUUGAAAUCCAGGCCCUGGAAGUUGACCGUUUGGGUUGACAUGGGAUACUGUAACUUAAAAACAAACACUUAAAAAACUUGUUCUUGAACUAUAAUAUAAACAUUGUUGUACAGGACCGAAACGUUCAAUGCUAAUUCUAAAUUUUUAAUUUUUGUUAAAUCACCAUUCUUGGGGUAGACCAGAGAAAGAAACGCUCUUCAGUGCUAUUAUUUCCAUAUUCUGGGUAAAUCACAUCUAAUUUUCCCAGAGGGAUGAGGUCACCUCACAGGGCUUUGAUGGAUUCCCAAAGAAAGAUUUUUUUACCAAUGUUUUAAAGUAAUGUUUUUCCUUAUUUAAUAAUACUUGCUAACAGGAAUUUUUUUGUGUCUAAUCAUUCCUAAAUGUUUCUUCUUGACUUGUCCUCAGCGGUGAUUAAAACCUGUCCUCUUUCAUCCCCGUGCUUGAAAAUACGGCAUCUAAAGCUGCUAUGUUAAAAACAAUCAGGAUCCAGAAAAUGUUUAAUUCUGAGUGUUGCUUUGAGGCUUUGGCUUUCUCUGUCGACAGAAGCUGUCUUCCCCCUGAAGGAGGCGACUGUGGGUCUGUUUCCCUCUGCCCUCUUGCAGCACCGAUCACCCCACUGAAACUGUGCUGUAUUGUUGACUGUGCAGGAGACAGCAGGACAGAGAAUAAGAGAAAGGCAAGGAUUUGCAAGUGGAUAAUGGCAUUCUUCUCAGCAAAUUCUCUUUUUCUGCAGAGUUUUUAUUUUUGAGGAUUUGCAAGUUCAUUUUUUCUUGAAGGAAGAAAAAGAAUAAUCUCACAAUGCAAUAUUGUGCAGAAGAAAUGAAGAGAUAUUUUCUAAAGUUUUUCAUGUGCCAUUUUCUGGAGUGCUUUCCUAAAGACUUAUUUCAUUGGAUACCUGAUGAAAACCAAGGAAAUAGGAGCUGCUUCUUGCAGAAGGGAAGCAGACCUACAGUGAGCCAGGCACCGUACCAGGUAGAAGCAUCCCUGCUGCCUCCUUUUCCUCUGCCCUGCUGCUUGGAACAUGGUGUGACAUUUGGAUCUCUGUCUUGGCUCAUGAGGAAGAAGAGCACAGUCUGGAGACGGUGGAGCAGAGAUGCUGUGCCAGCUCUCCACUGCUUCUUUCCAAAUUUGUGUGCAUGAGAGAAAUAAAUUUUUACUUGUUUGAA